CCCUUAGAUGUUCUGGGCCGCACGCGUGCUACACUGAGUGGAUCAGCGGGUCAGGUUGCGCGAAAGCGUUUCCUAAUCUUUAAAUCCGCUCGUGAUGGGGAUUGACGGUUGCAAUUUUCUGUCAUGAACGAGGAAUACCUUGUAAGCGCGGGUCAUCAUCCCGCGCUGAAUACGUCCCUGCCCUUUGUACACACCGCCCGUCGCACCUACCGAUUGGAUGGUCCGGUGAAGCCUCGGGAUUGUGGUUCUUGCCGCUUUAUUGUAGCGUGACCGCGAGAACUUGUCUAAACCUUAUCAUCUAGAGGAAGGUGAAGUCGUAACA
rnacentral:rRNA from 1 species